rnacentral:lncRNA from 1 species
CCCGGAGAGAAGCCGCCUUGGAUGGACAGAGGGACUGAGCUACAAGCAUCCAGCCAGUCGUGUCCUGGCUCCCCGGCAGCGGUUCCCAACGUCCGCUGCUAUCCGCGCCGGCUGCCCGCCUGCCUGCCUGGCAUCUCUCUCCCGGUUCCCUUCAUGAGGGGCUGCAGGGUCACCAUAUGACAAACAGGACACAUCUGCCACAACUGCAAGGCAGGGCUGCUUCCCAAAGGACCAUGUGCCAGUCUCUGUGGUUCCAGAGGAGGUUGCACUUGACAACACUCCAUUAAACAAGAUAGCACAAAUCCAAACAACAAAACCAGGAACUGCAGCUACAGCAUCCGUGAAAUUUGAAAAUAUUACACUGGGGCUUGAGAGAUGGUGAAGUGGUCAAGAACACUGUCUGCUCUUCCAGAGGACCCAGGUUCUAUUCCCAGUACCCACAUGGUAGCACACAUCUGUCUGUAACUCCAGUUCCAGGGAAUCUGGCAUCCUUACCCCAAUGCACAUAAAAUAAAGUUAAAUAAAGUAUUUUUAAAAGAGAAAAUAUGCUAAUGAAAAAAGCCAGCUACAAAAGGACACACAUGAAACUAUUCCAAUUCUUUGAAAUUCCACAACAGGUAAACUAUGAGGCCACAAGCAGAGGAGGACUGGGGAGAGCUGUGAAAAGAGGGCCAGGAAGUGAAUGUGGGCAGCAAAUGAAUUUGGGGGAGAUAUGGUAAAAUGUUUUGGAAUUAAACACUGGUGAAGCUUGUGUAACCCUGCAAAGGCCCUAACAGCCCUGAAUGGAUGCAGUAGACAUUCAAAGUGGAGAAUGCUCUUCCUGCCUCAGCCUCCUGAGGAUGGGAUUACAGGUGUGUGUCAGCCUGGCUGGCUCUAAAAAAUUUGAUUUAAGGGCUGGAGAGAUGGCUCAGGGGUUAAGAGCACUGCCCAUUCUUCCAGAGGUCCUGAGUUCAAUUCCCAGCAACCACAUGGUGGCUAACAACCACCUUGAAUGAGAUCUGGUGCCUCCUGCUGGCAUGCAGGCAGAAGACUGUAUACAUAAUAAUUAAAUAAAUUGAUUUUAAAAAGUCUU